ACUCCUACGGGAGGCAGCAGUGGGAAUAUUGCGCAAUGGGCGAAAGCCUGACGCAGCAAUGCCGCGUGAGUGAGGAAGGCCUUCGGGUUGUAAACUCUGUCAGAUAGGAAGAAUUGCCAAGGGUCCAAUAGGCCCUUGGAGUGACGGUACUAUCAAAGGAAGCACCGGCUAACUUCGUGCCAGCAGCCGCGGUAAUACGAAGGGUGCAAGCGUUGUUCGGAUUUAUUGGGCGUAAAGCGCGCGCAGGCGGGCAGCUAAGUCAGAUGUGAAAUCUCGGGGCUC
rnacentral:rRNA from 1 species